GAUGAACGCUGGCGGCGUGCCUAAUACAUGCAAGUCGAGCGAACAGACGAGGAGCUUGCUCCUCUGACGUUAGCGGCGGACGGGUGAGUAACACGUGGAUAACCUACCUAUAAGACUGGGAUAACUUCGGGAAACCGGAGCUAAUACCGGAUAAUAUAUUGAACCGCAUGGUUCAAUAGUGAAAGACGGUUUUGCUGUCACUUAUAGAUGGAUCCGCGCCGCAUUAGCUAGUUGGUAAGGUAACGGCUUACCAAGGCAACGAUGCGUAGCCGACCUGAGAGGGUGAUCGGCCACCCUGGAACUGAGACACGGUCCAGACUCCUACGGGAGGCAGCAGUAGGGAAUCUUCCGCAAUGGGCGAAAGCUUGACGGAGCAACGCCGCGUGAGUGAUGAAGGUCUUCGGAUCGUAAAACUAUGUUAUUAGGGAAGAACAAAUGUGUAAGUAACUAUGCACGUCUUGACGGUACCUAAUCAGAAAGCCACGGCUAACUACGUG
rnacentral:rRNA from 1 species